UGAGGAAUAUUGCUCAAUGGGGGAAACCCUGAAGCAGCAACGCCGCGUGAGGGAUGAAGGCGCUUUGCGUUGUAAACCUCUGUAGUUGGAGACAAAACUCUCUCUACUGAGAGAUUGAUGGUAUCCAAAAAGUAAGGAUCGGCUAACUACGUGCCAGCAGCCGCGGUAAUACGUAGGAUCCUAGCGUUGUCCGGAUUUACUGGGUGUAAAGGGUGCGCAGGCGGACUUAUAAGUCAGUGGUGAAAUCUCGGCGCUUAACGCCGAAACUGCCUUUGAUACUAUAAGUCUUGAGUUUGGUAGAGAUCCGUGGAAUUCCGAGUGUAGCAGUGAAAUGUGUAGAUAUUCGGAAGAACACCAGCGGCGAAGGCAGCGGAUUGGGCCAAUACUGACGCUCAGGCACGAAAGCAUGGGGAUCAAACAGG
rnacentral:rRNA from 1 species